rnacentral:rRNA from 1 species
AUUGAACGCUGGCGGCAUGCUUUACACAUGCAAGUCGAACGGUAACAGGCCGCUAGGUGCUGUCGAGUGGCGAACGGGUGAGUAAUGCAUCGGAACGUUCCCCGUCGCGUGGGAUAACUAUUCGGAAGAGUAGCUAAAUCCGCAUACGAAAUCUGUAUGAAAGCGGGGGACCGGAUGGCCUCCGGCGGUUGGAGCGGCCGAUGUCGGUUUUGGUCUUUGGGGGGGGAAAGGCUCUCCCAGACAGCGAUAGGUAUCUCGUCUGAGAGGACGAGCAGGCACACUGGGACUGAGACACGGCCCAGACUCCUACGGGAGGCAGCAGUGGGGAAUGUUGGACAAUGGGCGCAAGCCUGAUCCAGCAAUGCCGCGUGCAGGAAGAAGGCCUUCGGGUUGUAAAAUGCUUUUGUACGGAACGAAACGGCUCUGGUUAAUACCCGGGGCUAGUGACGGUACCGUAAGAAGAAGCACCGGCUAACUACGUG